UGUCUGUUUUCUAAAGUAUCUUGGUAUCAGAGCAAAGCUACAGGAUUAUGAAAGGGUUUUAUGUUUGCUUUUAUUAUCAUUCUUAGGUGGGGAAUCCCAUCAAGGAUGGAUCACGUCACCAAAUACAGAUAAAUCCCAUGGAAAUGCAGCCCCUGCUCAUCACCCUGAUAAUCUACUGGAGAAAGUGAGCCACCGACCUGGGAUUCAUCUUUUUGGACAGCAGGUGAUGGAAAUCCAUAUCCAGCACCUCUGAGCACCCUGAGCUGCUCCCAUAGGAUACAGCCUGGACCAGCUCAUCCUUGGAAGGUCAGUGCUGGACUGAGGUAUUUGGGAGCCUGAUUAAUAACAACAUCCCUUCCUUCACUUAGAGGUGGGAACGAUUCACCUGCUCCCCCCG
rnacentral:lncRNA from 1 species